rnacentral:rRNA from 1 species
UUAGGCCUAACACAUGCAAGUCGAGCGAUGAAGCCUUCGGGCUGAUUAGCGGCGGACGGGUGAGUAACACGUGGGUAACCUGCCUCAAAGAGGGGGAUAGCCUCCCGAAAGGGAGAUUAAUACCGCAUAAUAUCAGUAUUUCGCAUGAAGAACUGAUUAAAGGAGUAAUCCGCUUUGAGAUGGACCCGCGGCGCAUUAGCUAGUUGGUGAGGUAAAGGCUCACCAAGGCGACGAUGCGUAGCCGACCUGAGAGGGUGAUCGGCCACAUUGGAACUGAGAUACGGUCCAGACUCCUACGGGAGGCAGCAGUGGGGAAUAUUGCACAAUGGGCGAAAGCCUGAUGCAGCAACGCCGCGUGAGUGAUGAAGGCCUUCGGGUUGUAAAGCUCUGUCUUUGGGGACGAUAAUGACGGUACCCAAGGAGGAAGCCACGGCUAACUACGUGCCAGCAGCCGCGGUAAUACGUAGGUGGCAAGCGUUGUCCGGAUUUACUGGGCGUAAAGGAUGCGUAGGCGGAUAUUUAAGUGAGAUGUGAAAUUCCCGGGCUUAACUUGGGAGCUGCAUUUCAAACUGGAUAUCUAGAGUGCAGGAGAGGAGAAUGGAAUUCCUAGUGUAGCGGUGAAAUGCGUAGAGAUUAGGAAGAACACCAGUGGCGAAGGCGAUUCUCUGGACUGUAACUGACGCUGAGGCAUGAAAGCGUGGGUAGCAAACAGGAUUAGAUACCCUGGUAGUCCACGCCGUAAACGAUGAGUACUAGGUGUAGGAGGGUCCAACCUUCUGUGCCGCAGUUAACACAAUAAGUACUCCGCCUGGGAAGUACGAUCGCAAGAUUAAAACUCAAAGGAAUUGACGGGGGCCCGCACAAGCGGUGGAGCAUGUGGUUCAAUUCGAAGCAACGCGCAGAACCUUACCAGCCUUUGACAUCCCGGUCGCGGGCACCAGAGAUGGAGCCCUUCAGUUCGGCUGGACCGGAGACAGGUGCUGCAUGGCUGUCGUCAGCUCGUGUCGUGAGAUGUUGGGUUAAGUCCCGCAACGAGCGCAACCCUCGCCCUUAGUUGCCAUCAUUUAGUUGGGCACUCUAAGGGGACUGCCGG